rnacentral:rRNA from 1 species
CCUACGGGAGGCAGCAGUGGGGAAUAUUGGACAAUGGGCGCAAGCCUGAUCCAGCCAUGCCGCGUGAGUGAUGAAGGCCCUAGGGUUGUAAAGCUCUUUCACCGGUGAAGCGGUAACCGGAGAAGAAGCCCCGGCUAACUUCGUGCCAGCAGCCGCGGUAAUACGAAGGGGGCUAGCGUUGUUCGGAUUUACUGGGCGUAAAGCGCACGUAGGCGGACUUUUAAGUCAGGGGUGAAAUCCCGGGGCUCAACCCCGGAACUGCCUUUGAUACUGGAAGUCUUGAGUAUGGUAGAGGUGAGUGGAAUUCCGAGUGUAGAGGUGAAAUUCGUAGAUAUUCGGAGGAACACCAGUGGCGAAGGCGGCUCACUGGACCAUACUGACGCUGAGGUGCGAAAGCGUGGGGAGCAAACAGGAUUAGAUACCCUUGUAGUC